UUAAUGUUUACACUGCUGGGGGUUGUGAGUAACUAUCAUGAAUUAUGACUUUAAGCAUAAGAUUAAAAGUUUUACAGUCCCUUUCCACAAUGUUGGAGAAGAAGCUGGGUUUUGGAUCUGAGCCUAUAUAUUCUGACUACUUCUCAGAGUCAUCCUGUGUGUGUGGUGUCUGAGGAGGCAAACCAUGGAGGAAACAGUC
rnacentral:snoRNA from 1 species